rfam:Atta cephalotes unplaced genomic scaffold scaffold00028, whole genome shotgun sequence.
AAGAUCAUACUUCACAGGAUCAGUUCUGUAGGAGUUGAUCUCAUUCUCCCUCCCUAACAUGGGAGUUGAUGUAACCAUGAUGAGGAGAAAUAGCCCUCUUCUCUGAGCGUGAGAACGACACGAAUUCUCGAUUUUUUUUCGAGAUUUUCUGUCAUCAAUGAUCGUUCACCCUUCGCAUUCAAUGUGAAGGGGAUGGGAAGAAGGGCGUUCUGAGUGGU